rnacentral:piRNA from 1 species
UACUAAGACGGAGAUGGGAACCUCAAG